GUAGGGAAUAUUGCGCAAUGGACGAAAGUCUGACGCAGCGACGCCGCGUGAGUGAUGAAGGCCUUAGGGUCGUAAAGCUCUGUUGAAUGGGAAGAAAAAAAUGACGGUACCAUUCGAGGAAGGACCGGCUAACUACGUGCCAGCAGCCGCGGUAAUACGAGGGGUCCUAGCGUUGUUCGGAAUCAUUGGGCGUAAAGGGUGUGUAGGUGGCCAUGUAAGUCAGGUGUGAAAGCCCCGGGCUCAACCCGGGAAGUGCACUUGAUACUGCGUGGCUUGAGUACCGAAGAGGGUAGUGGAAUUCCAGGUGUAGUGGUGAAAUACGUAGAUAUCUGGAGGAACACCGGUGGCGAAGGCGGCUACCUGGUCGAGUACUGACACUGAGACACGAAAGCAUGGGGAUCAAACAGGAUUAGAUACCCUGGUAGUCC
rnacentral:rRNA from 1 species